AUCGAACGCUGGCGGCAGGCCUAACACAUGCAAGUCGGGCGAGCGGCGGACGGGUGAGUAAUGUAUGGGGAUCUUCCUGAUGGCGGGGGAUAACCACUGGAAACGGUAUCUAAUACCGCCUACCCUCCGUUUAACCCAUAUGUGAUUGGCUAGUAGGUAGGGUAACGGCUUACCUAGGCGACGAUCCCUCGCUGGGCUGAGAGGAUGAUGAGCCACACUGGGACUGAGAAACGGCCAAGACUCCAACGGGAGGCAGAAGUGGGGAAUAUUGGACAUGGGGCGCAAGCCGAAGGCAGCAAGGCGGCGUGUAUGAAGAAGGCCUUCGGGUUGUAAAGUACGUUCAGUGGGGAGGCGUUACCGGAAGAGGAAGCAACGGCUAACUACGUGCCAGCAGCCGCGGUAAUAC
rnacentral:rRNA from 1 species